rnacentral:tRNA from 1 species
GCCUAGGUGGCUCAGUCAGUUAAGUGUCUGACUUUGGCUCAGGUCGUGAUCUGGUAGUUCGUGAGUUCAAGCCCCACAUUGGGCU